UCGUAUUUGCCAUCCUCAAUGUCUUCCAGGGAUUAUUCAGUUUACUCUUUGGAUGCCUCUAGGAUCUGAAGGUACAGGAAGCUUUGCUGAAUAAGUUUUCAUUGUCGAGAUGGUCUUCACCAC